UUGAAUCCUCAGGAUGUCGCUGGCUCUCGCAAGGGAGCAUGUGCACUCCGCCUUUCAAUCCACCUGUGCACUUAUUGUAGGCUUGGAGAGGGGAAACCCUUUUUAACCUAUGCUUUUACACACACUAUAAAGUACCAGAAUGUAACACAGUAAGACCUUCAGGUCGAAAUAACAAUACAACUUUCAACAACGGAUCUCUUGGUUCUCGCAUCGAUGAAGAACGCAGCGAAUUGCGAUAUGUAAUGUGAAUUGCAGAAUUCAGUGAAUCAUUGAAUCUUUGAACGCACCUUGCGCCCUUUGGUAUUCCGAAGGGCAUGCCUGUUUGAGUAUCAUUAAUAUCUCACUCUUGAAUCCCUUGUGGAGUCAAGAUGUGGACUUUGGAGGUUUUUGCAGGCCAUCCUUUGGUCAGCUCCUCUUAAACGCAUUAGCGGAACUCUAUGCAGUACCAGCCUCGGUUUGAUAAUCCUAUCUAUGCUGUCGCUGUUGGACUGCGCUGUUUGGCUUACAAUUGUCUUCGGACUGUCACGUUUGUGGCAUAAAUUUUAAGCUUGAUCUCAAAUCAGGUAGGACUACCCGCUGAACUUAAGCAUAUCAAUAAGCGGAGGA
rnacentral:rRNA from 1 species